rnacentral:rRNA from 1 species
AUUGAACGCUGGCGGCAGGCCUAACACAUGCAAGUCGGACGAGUGGCGGACGGGUGAGUAAUGUCUGGGGAACUGCCUGAUGGAGGGGGAUAACUACUGGAAACGGUAGCUAAUACCGCAUACCAUCAGAUGUGCCCAGAUGGGAUUAGCUUGUUGGUGGGGUAACGGCUCACCAAGGCGACGAUCCCUAGCUGGUCUGAGAGGAUGACCAGCCAAACUGGAACCGAGACAAGGGCCAGACUCCUACGGGAGGCAGCAGUGGGGAAUAUUGCAAAAUGGGCGCAAGCCUGAUGCAGCCCUGCCGCGGGUAUGAAGAAGGCCUUCGGGUUUGAAAGGACUUUCAGCGGGGAGGCGUUAACCGAAGAAGAAGCACCGGCCAACUCCGUGCCAGCAGCCGCGGUAAUAC